rnacentral:rRNA from 1 species
UCAUCUAGCGCGUACCAUACUAUGCAAGUCGAGCGGUAGCACAAGAGAGCUUGCUCUCUGCGUGACGAGCGGCGGCCGGUUGAGUAAUGUCUGGGAAACUGCCUGAUGGAGGGGGAUAACUACUGGAAACGGUAGCUAAUACCGCAUAACGUCUUCGGACCAAAGUGGGGGACCUUCGGGCCUCACGCCAUCAGAUGUGCCCAGAUGGGAUUAGCUAGUAGGUGGGGUAAUGUCUCACCGAGGCGACGAUCCCUAUCUGUUCUGAGAGGAUGACAACCCAAACUGGAAAUGACCCAGGUUCAACUCUAAUCGGGAGGCAGCAGUGGGGAAUAUUGUAAAAUGGGCGCAAGCCUGAUGCAGCCAUGCCGCGUGUGUGAAGAAGGCCUUCGGGUUGUAAAGCACUUUCAGCGAGGAGGAAGGGUGGUGUGUUAAUACAUAUCACAUUGACGUUACUCACAAAAAAGCACCGGCUAACUGCGUGCCAGCAGCCGCGGUAAUACGGAGGGUGCAAGCGUUAAUCGGAAUUACUGGGCGUAAAGCGCACGCAGGCGGUUUGUUAAGUCAGAUGUGAUAUCCCCGCACUUAACGUGAGAACUGCAUUAGAAACUGGCAAGCUAGAGUCUUGUAGAGGGGGGAAGAAUUCCGGGUGUAGCGGCAAAGUGCGUAGAGACUCUGGAGGAAUACCGGGGGGCGAAGGCGGCCUCCUGAACAAAGCACUGAUGCUCAGGUGCGAAAGCGGGGGAGAGCAAAGAGGAUUAAAAUACCCUGAUAGUACCACGCUGUUAACGAAUGCUCAACUUGAAGGUUGCCCCUUUUGAGGCGUGCCCUUCGAGAGCAUAACCUGUUAUGGUCAACGGCCUGGGAAAGUACGGCCGCAAGGUAUAAAACUCAAAUUGAAUUGGAGGGGGGGCCCGCAACAGGCGGGGGAAGCAGUUGUUUUAAUUUCGAUUGCAACGCGAAAGACCUUUCACCUUAUUUCUUGACUUCC